GUUGCUGGAGUUUAACUGACACAUAAACAUGGAUCUCAAUGAGUCCUUGUAGUGGAUAUUGACGAUAGUUGGUCCACUGUAGGAGUGGGAUGCACAUCAAGAUGGGAUCUAUCAUCCCUGAUAGAGAGGAGUAGUCUUGUGCGAUUUGAGAGGCUAAGUCCAAGAGUUUGUGACCGCAGCAGUGUGAUUGAUGGAAAAGAGUUUUCAUAGAAGUCAUAACUAGAUUUGAGCUAAUCGAAUCUAUCAUAUGACUGAUGUUGAGGUUUGAUGAUUUAUCCUUGAUCUGCCAU
rnacentral:lncRNA from 1 species